CCCUUAGAUGUUCUGGGCCGCACGCGCGCUACACUGAUUCAUGCAACAAGUUUUGUACUUGGCUGAUAGGCCUGGGUAAUCUUUGAACGUGAAUCGUGAUGGGGAUAGAUGAUUGCAAUUAUUCAUCUUCAACGAGGAAUUCCUAGUAAACGCAAGUCAUCAGCUUGCAUUGAUUACGUCCCUGCCCUUUGUACACACCGCCCGUCGCACCUACCGAUUGAAUGGUCCGGUGAAAUCUUCGGAUCUGAGAGAUGUCUGAUUAAUUUCGGACGCCUUUUGGAAAAGUUGCUUAAACCUUACCAUUUAGAGGAAGGUGAANUCGUAACA
rnacentral:rRNA from 1 species